rnacentral:rRNA from 1 species
UACGUAGGGUCCGAGCGUUGUCCGGAGUUACUGGGCGUAAAGGGCGCGCAGGCGGCGGUGCUGGCCCGGCGUGAAAGCCCCCGGCUCAACCGGGGAGGGUCGUCGGGGACCGCACCGCUUGAGGGCGGUAGGGGCCGGUGGAAUGCCUGGUGUAGUGGUGAAAUGCGUAGAGAUCAGGCAGAACACCUGGGGCGAAGGCGGCCGGGCUGGGCCGACCCUGACCGCUGAGGCGCGAAGGCGUGGGGAGCGAACGGGG